CCUACGGGAGGCAGCAGUGGGGGAUAUUGCACAAUGGGGGGAACCCUGAUGCAGCGACGCCGCGUGGGUGAAGGAGUGCUUCGGCAUGUAAAGCCCUAUCGGCAGGGAAGAAGCAAGACGGUACCUGACUAAGAAGCCCCGGCUAACUACGUGCCAGCAGCCGCGGUAAUACGUAGGGGGCGAGCGUUAUCCGGAUGCACUGGGUGUAAAGGGAGCGUAGACGGCCAAGCAAGCCAGGGGUGAAAGCCCGGGGCCCAACCCCGGGACUGCCCUUGGAACUGCAUGGCGUGAGUGCGGGAGGGGCAUGCGGAAGUCCUGGUGUAGCGGUGGAAUGUGUAGAUAUCAGGAGGAACACCGGCGGCGAAGGCGACCUGCUGGACCGCGACUGACGUUGAGGCUCGAAAGCGUGGGGAGCGAACAGGAGUAGAUACCCCGGUAGUC
rnacentral:rRNA from 1 species